AGUGAACGCUGGCGGUAGGCCUAACACAUGCAAGUCGAACGGCAGCACAGUAAGAGCUUGCUCUUACGGGUGGCGAGUGGCGGACGGGUGAGGAAUACAUCGGAAUCUACUUUUUCGUGGGGGAUAACGUAGGGAAACUUACGCUAAUACCGCAUACGACCUACGGGUGAAGGCAGGGGAUCUUCGGACCUUGCGCGAUUGAAUGAGCCGAUGUCGGAUUAGCUAGUUGGCGGGGUAAAGGCCCACCAAGGCGACGAUCCGUAGCUGGUCUGAGAGGAUGAUCAGCCACACUGGAACUGAGACACGGUCCAGACUCCUACGGGAGGCAGCAGUGGGGAAUAUUGGACAAUGGGCGCAAGCCUGAUCCAGCCAUACCGCGUGAGUGAAGAAGGCCUUCGGGUUGUAAAGCCCUUUUGUUGGGAAAGAAAAGCAGCAGGUUAAUACCCCGCUGUUCUGACGGUACCCAAAGAAUAAGCACCGGCUAACUUCGUG
rnacentral:rRNA from 1 species